UGGGGGAUAUUGCACAAUGGGCGAAAGCCUGAUGCAGCGACGCCGCGUGGGGGAUGAAGGCCUUCGGGUUGUAAACUUCUUUUGCUCUGAACAAGGCGCACCAUGGGGUGUGUUGAGUGUAGGGGUUGAUUAGCGCCGGCUAACUACGUGCCAGCAGCCGCGGUAAUACGUAGGGCGCGAGCGUUGUCCGGAAUUAUUGGGCGUAAAGGGCUUGUAGGUGGCUGGUUGCGUCUGUCGUGAAAGCUCAUGGCUUAACUGUGGGUUUGCGGUGGGUACGGGCUGGCUUGAGUGCAGUAGGGGAGGCUGGAAUUCCUGGUGUAGCGGUGGAAUGCGCAGAUAUCAGGAGGAAUACCGGUGGCGAAGGCGGGUCUCUGGGCUGUUACUGACACUGAGGAACGAAAGCAUGGGGAGCGAACAGG
rnacentral:rRNA from 1 species